rnacentral:rRNA from 1 species
GGAAUAUUGGACAAUGGGCGCAAGCCUGAUCCAGCAAUGCCGCGUGUGUGAAGAAGGCCCUCGGGUUGUAAAGCACUUUUAUCAGGAGCGAAAUCUGCAAGGCUAAUACCCUUGUAGUCUGACGGUACCUGAGGAAUAAGCACCGGCUAACUCCGUGCCAGCAGCCGCGGUAAUACGGAGGGUGCAAGCGUUAAUCGGAAUUACUGGGCGUAAAGCGUGUGUAGGCGGUUUGUUAAGUCUGUUGUGAAAGCCCCGGGCUCAACCUGGGAAGGGCAGUGGAUACUGGCAAGCUAGAGUGUGAUAGAGGAUGGUGGAAUUCCCGGUGUAGCGGUGAAAUGCGUAGAGAUCGGGAGGAACAUCAGUGGCGAAGGCGGCCAUCUGGAUCAACACUGACGCUGAGACACGAAAGCGUGGGGAGCAAACA